rnacentral:lncRNA from 1 species
AGCAUUUGAAAUUUUGUUUUAAUCUGGGUAGAAAGAUCUGUCAUUCCAUUAAUAAUUUGAUUUUCAACAUCACUAAAGUGAAUUAAACUUAAUCAUAACUGUACUAAUAAUUAAUGGUUUUACUUUGCAUAUGUAGUAAGCUCUGUGAUGUUGAAAUGCUAUUAUCUGAUUAAUACCAGAGCAUUGGUAGUUCUCUUUUUUUAAAAACACAUUAGCAUGGGGUAGUGAUUCAGGGUCAUUGUCAUAACCACACUGGACUUGCACAGUUAACAGAGACAGUUACUUGAUGUGAGGACGGCUUGGUGUGAUUUUCCUACAGUAGAGCUUGGGAUGGGAUGGCAUAGUAGCAGCUGUAUUUCAGCUGAAGCAGGAAAUGUUUGUACCAGACAGUGGCGCUCUUGAAUCCUGCAUUCACGUUAGCCACUUUCGUGCGCUUUAAAUAAUUCUGUACGCAAAGCGCCAGGGUUCUUCAUAAAGCUUUACAAAACUGGUCCUAAUGGGCAGUGGUGUAAGGUGUGCCUUUAAUUCCUAAAGUUGCUCAAUAAACAGCUCAUUCGAUCCUAAAAAGUCUGAGUUAUGCUGACUUGAGUCUGGUGUUUCUUCAGUCAGCCUGAAGCAGCCCACUAAUGACCAUGGACUGGGCUCAGGCCAUUGUGACUCACGUGAGGGAAAUAGGUGAAAACACACAUUGAUGGAUAAACUAGAGCACACGUGAAUUUUCUGCAAGGCCUAAGGGACUCUGGGUUUUAAUGUCCAUAAGAAAUGUGG